rnacentral:rRNA from 1 species
GAUGAACGCUAGCGGCGGGCUUAAUACAUGCAAGUCGAGGGGUGGUAGCAAUACUACACCGGCGCACGGGUGCGUAACGCGUAUGCAAUCUACCUUUAUCUGGGGGAUAGCCCGGGGAAACCCGGAUUAAUACCGCAUAACAAAUUUCUUGGCAUCAAGAGAUUUUAAAAGAUUUAUCGGAUAGAGAUGAGCAUGCGUAAGAUUAGAUAGUUGGCAAGGUAACGGCUCACCAAGUCUACGAUCUUUAGGGGCUCUGAGAGGAGAAUCCCCCACACUGGCACUGAGAUACGGGCCAGACUCCUACGGGAGGCAGCAGUAGGGAAUAUCGGGCAAUGGGCGCAAGCCUGACCCAGCCACGCCGCGUGCAGGAAGAAGGCCCUCUGGGUUGUAAACUGCUUUUGACUGGGAAGAAAAGACUCCUUGCGAGGAGAGUUGACGGUACCAGCAGAAUAAGCCACGGCUAACUACGUGCCAGCCGCCGCAGUAAAAC